rnacentral:lncRNA from 1 species
CUAAAUGACCUCUCAGAUCAUCUCUCACCUCCUCUCUCAUGCCCCAUCUUCUGUCGUCGCCGGAAAUCGCCCACGGCGGCGGCCAACCUCUAAAUAGUCAUUAGACAAUCCCCACCUCCUUCUCAAAACCCUCCAGAAUCUCUCAAUUUGUAGAUCUAGGAAAUCAUAAACCCUAAAUCUACCUCCUCUCUGAUUCUUCCUUAAAUUCUGGUUUAUUUAGAUUUAAUAUCAAUGUCAGUCAUCUUUUCCCGUUGUUAACCAUCAUUUCAUUGUAGUUUCAAUUCAUGUCGAGACUACCGAAAAUCGAUCAAAAUCCCAUUGACCGUCCAGUCCUCUUCCAAAACUAUUAUUUCUGCUCCCAAUCUGGCUCGCCACAAGCAUUGUGACACAUAACAUUGGCCUGUUUGAGAAAUCGAUGGCCAUUUCUUGUGUAACAAUGCCUCUUGCGCGCCGAAAUUUUUGUGUGCUCGCCAGAGUCUAGUUUUAGCUCAUCGGAGUCAGUGUCGCUGCUUUAAUCCAGCUCAAACAGGUGUAAUUCAUUCUUUUCCUUCACUGUGUUCAACCUCGUGAUUCAUUUCUGGUAUCCGACUUAUUUUAAUCAUUUAAGUUUAGAUGUGGAUUCAUGUUCUAGUUGAAUUGUUGUGUUAAAUUGCGUAGUUUCUAGUUUAGCAGGUUUAAUUAAUUGUUGAUUCAUGCUUUUUUUAUUGGCAUAGUCAGUUCUGUCUAGUUUUUGUAUAUUAGCCAUUUGUCAAUUCAGUUUAGUUAGUUGUUGUUUUGUAAAUGUUUGAUCCUGCUAAGUGAAAGAAGGCAAUUGAUUUCAGAAGUUAGUAAUUGUUGAGGUAAAAGAAAAGGUUAAAAGAAGGGUAUUAACAGGAACUUGAGGGGGCUAAAGGAAAUAGAAAUCUUGGGAAUCAUGGGUGUAACUGACUUGUAAUAUUCUAUAAUAGGGCAGUAAAGGUUGGAAAGCAAUAAAACAGUAAACAUUAGGUAAAAAGCGGACUUAAGGGUUAAAACACAUAAAAUAAAAUGGACUGGAAAGAAAGAGAAAUAACAGAACAAGGCAGUUGGCAUUCUGCUAUAAGAGCAGUACAUUCCCUCAUGAUUACUCACGCAUUCACUGAUUAUUCUCACACAUUCACUGGCAAUUCAUUUUCUCACUCUCACUCACUCUCAUACACGCUAAAAACACCUUAGUAGCAGCUGGAAAAUAAAAAAUCCAGAUCUGAACUUCAAAAAAUUUCAAAAACCAAAAGCUGAAAAUAAAAGGAAUCAGAAGCUGAUCCAAAUCUCAGCUCAUUUACUUUACAUUCUCUGGGAGUUUCAAGGUGGUAGAAGUGUUGUCUGUUUGCUAUUGUUUGUUGGAUUUACUAGCUGGGCUUCCUCUCAUUUCUCCUUGCCUUUAUUUGGCCAUUUGCUGAUUGUUUCCUGCUAGUAGGUAUGUAAAGUUCCUCCUGUAACUCUUGUGAAUGUAGAAAUGAAGAGUUGAUGUGUUGAUUCCCUGACUAUGCCUACUUCUAUAUGUUCCUGAUAUUUGAAUGUGAGAUCUGUUCAUCUUUGCUUCUUGAUGAGUAUCUGAUUAUGCUUGUUUAUUUGAGCUGAAUAUCUAAGUUAGAAUUACUCACUAACUAGACUAGUUGCUAUUGAUAAUGUUCUAUUGCAUUUAAGCAUGUUGAUAAUCAACAUAUCGGCAUGUUUAAACAUCUCGUGACAUCAUUAGAUCUGUACCUAACUGUAUCUGUUGUUUUCUCAUGAUAAAAUUUCUGCUGUAGUAUAGAAUAUACAACAUGUUGAGACGUAGUUUGUUCGUCUAGCUAGAAACAGAAUUGGAGUUAGAGAUUUUCUGGUUAAAGAUGAAGCUGAAAGGAACGUCCAUCUAUGUCUCCCUAUUCUGAUUAUUGCGCAUUUGCAUAUAGAAAUCUGAAGAAGGAACAGAGAAAAGAUCAUUUGUAUACUGUUUUAAUUCAUUUAGUUUAGAAUUUGUGAAGCCAUUUUUCAUGAGUCUAAGGAUUGAAUUAGAGAGUUUGUAAUAACUUAGUUCAUUAGUUUUUUUUGUAAUUAAUCAGGGGUUACAAUUGUUACUUAUAUUAUUUUUCUCUAAUUGGUUGAAAUUCUUGUAAUUGAAUUAUUCCUUCCUAUGAUUGUGUAAGUGAUGUUAGAUCUGAUGAAGCUCACACAAAUGAGCAUAUGCUGAAUUACUCCUUUCCUUGACGUUUGGGCUUCACUUGGAACCCAAUUAUGAGAAAACGAC